rnacentral:misc_RNA from 1 species
GAUGAAGAACGUAGUAAAAUGCGAUAAGUAAUGUGAAUUGCAGAAUUCAGUGAAUCAUCGAAUCUUUGAACGCACAUUGCGCCCGCCAGUAUUCUGGCGGGCAUGCCUGUUCGAGCGUCAUUUCAACCCUCAAGCACAGCUUGGUGUUGGGACUCGCGUUAAUUCGCGUUCCCCAAAUUGAUUGGCGGUCACGUCGAGCUUCCAUAGCGUAGUAGUAAAACCCUCGUUACUGGUAAUCGUCGCGGCCACGCCGUUAAACCCCAACUUCUGAAUGUUGACCUCGGAUCAGGUAGGAAUACCCGCUGAACUUAAGCAUAUCAAUAAGCGAGGA